rnacentral:rRNA from 1 species
CAGCCGCCGCGGUAAAACGGAGGGAGCUAGCGUUGUUCGGGAUUACUGGGCGUAAAGCGCGCGUAGGCGGUUACUCAAGUCAGAGGUGAAAGCCCGGGGCUCAACCCCGGAACUGCCUUUGAAACUAGGUGACUAGAAUCUUGGAGAGGUCAGUGGAAUUCCGAGUGUAGAGGUGAAAUUCGUAGAUAUUCGGAAGAACACCAGUGGCGAAGGCGACUGACUGGACAAGUAUUGACGCUGAGGUGCGAAAGCGUGGGGAGCAAACAGGAUUAGAUACCCCCGUAGUCCCUGUCUCUUAUAC